rnacentral:rRNA from 1 species
AUGCUUCUCCUAAAGACUAAGCCAUGCAUGUCUUCGAAUAAGAGGAAGCAAUUCUCUCUGAAUCUGCGAACGGCUCCGCAAACCAGUUGUAAACUAUAGCAAGCAUGUUCCGAACUUUCGGGGGAGGGGCGAUAAGGAUAACCCUGGUAAUUCUGAGGCUAAUACAAGACCGUAAAACUUGAUCGACUGGGCAACCGGAAGAUUGGGGGGCGUGCUCUUUAUUGCAGACGAUUGCCGGGAAAGGAUGCACGUUCAGACCACCAUAACAAACGGUAGCUGGGAUCCGCAAGGUGAAAGGUGUUCCGGGUGGCUCUUGCUCUGUGCUUCUGACCUAUCAACUAGAUGGCAGCGUAACGGACAUGCCAUGGUUACAACGGGUACAGAGGAUAAGGGUUCGAUCCUGGAGAGUGGGCCUGAGAGAUUGCUCAUACUUCUAAGGAAGGCAGCAGGCGCGCAACGUUCCCAUUGGGCAAUGCCCGAGGGCGUUAGGGGACAUAUGAAUGCCUSCAAUUGGUGGGCAAUCAAAUGG